rnacentral:lncRNA from 12 species
CAAACAUGUCUUUAUAAAGGUGCCUUUCUUGUCCAGAGAAUGGCCUUUUAUUCUCUCAGGUGUGUAGGUGGAGCGAUGUGGGAUCAGGUGUUGGAUCGCUCUUUAAAAGCAUGUGUUAGUCUCAAUAGUUCAGUAACUGCAUUCACUGGAGCGUCACACCUGCAAAUGGAGUGGCUUCAAGUCUUUGGAGUCCUGGGAUGUUUACUACUCUGCAGUGGAACUCUAACCUCGCCAAGCCCAGCACAGAAUCCCUCCUAUCUCAUAUCAGUCUCUGAAGUCCUGCGCUGUGGCGUCCCGACCACUUUAUCAGUCACCGUUCUGGCAGAGUAUCCCAUCAAGGUCACGGCUGAACUCAUCCAUGGAAACAGCAGUGUGGCCCAAACAGAGAGCACCAUCCCAGCAGGCUCUACCAGAC